CUUUAUUUUUUCAUUUUUCAAAAUUUCGGCAACAUUUCGACAAUACUUGGGCAUUAGAUUUUAUCCAAAUAUUAGCUCCCUAACCGCUAUUUCUCUCUUUUUCUCUUUUUGACUUUUCUCAAAUUCCGACAUUCCAGGAUUCAAAACCAGUCAACAUGCAGGUUCGAACAAAUAAAUGCAUAGAACAAGUAGGAUGCACUAGGAUGGUUUUUUUUAUUUCAGGUUGCUAGCCCUAGACGGACCCAACCCCUGUGUUGAUCCCCCUUAGUCAAUUGUGGCAUGAUGAAAAUAAGUGUUCCUACUAGGGAUCCGGCAUGAAGUCAAGUUAUUCUAUGUUCAAAACCUGGGUCGGUGUUCUAGACAGUGUACCUGAGCGGACAACUCGAAUC
rnacentral:lncRNA from 1 species